rnacentral:rRNA from 1 species
GAUGAACGCUGGCGGCGUGCCUAACACAUGCAAGUCGAGCGAACCCUUCGGGGUGAGCGGCGGACGGGUGAGUAACGCGUGGGUAACCUGCCCUGUACACACGGAUAACAUACCGAAAGGUAUGCUAAUACGAGAUAAUAUAUUUUAAUCGCAUGGUUAAGAUAUCAAAGCUCCGGCGGUACAGGAUGGACCCGCGUCUGAUUAGCUAGUUGGUGAGGUAAUGGCUCACCAAGGCGACGAUCAGUAGCCGACCUGAGAGGGUGAUCGGCCACACUGGAACUGAGACACGGUCCAGACUCCUACGGGAGGCAGCAGUGGGGAAUAUUGCACAAUGGGCGAAAGCCUGAUGCAGCAACGCCGCGUGAGCGAUGAAGGCCUUCGGGUCGUAAAGCUCUGUCCUCAAGGAAGAUAAUGACGGUACUUGAGGAGGAAGCCCCGGCUAACUACGUGCCAGCAGCCGCCGCAG